rnacentral:hammerhead_ribozyme from 1 species
GCCUACCUGAUGAGUCCCAAAAAGGGCGAAACCGGUCGUAGGC